rnacentral:sRNA from 1 species
ACUAAUUCACAUGAUCUUAUUUAAUGUGGAGAACUUAAUUUAUUCUAAACUUUCCAGCUAUGAAACUGAUGCUUUUAAAAGUUUUUGUAAGGGAAGAAAGACUUCACUGCAACGUCUGUUUGAUUACACACACAUUGAUUAGAUUAUAGGAAUAGUAGUUAUUUUUGGCAACUGCAGUAGUCUUGAGAAAAGUCUGCCUUUAGCAAUUAUUCGUAGUAUUUAUCUUCAGAAAUCAGGAUUGAGUUGGUUGUUCUCCAUUCAUAUAAUGCUUUGAGUGUAGAUAAAUGGUCAAUAAAUACGUGAAUGAAUUGAUAUUGUGAAAUAGAAUUCUCUGUUAGUCAUAAGUAUUUAGAAAUAAAAGGAAUGUAGUUUCUUGCUUACUGGUGAUAACUUUGUAAGUGGAGUAAAAAGAAUGAAAAAAUUGAAAUUUUAAUUCUCUUCAAAUGGGGAAGGGAAAAUAGAAAUGUAUUUUAUAUUCUAAAUCUUGAGAGUCAUUAGGUUGAAAUUUGCAAUUUUUUGUAGUUAAUGCAAGGCAUGUUAAAAUAUAAUUUGUCUUGGUUUUAACAUUCUGAGCCACUAUGUAGCAGAAUUUAUCUGUAUUACUUGACAUUGCCCAAUUCUUUCUAUAUUCUGUGGGAUAAUGUUUUAGCUUUACUUGUUCAGUUGGAAUAUAUUUGUACUUUUUUAGUUUAGUUAUUUUACCCAGGAGGCAGCUGUUAGUUUAAAAAAAAAAAAUUUGGAAUAUACUGUUCUUUUGGUGGUUUUAUUCUAUACUAAAAUUUGAAAUUGUGAGUGACUCGUGGUCGUGCUUUAUUUAUGCAGAAUAUCCUCCGAAUCCUAAAUCUAGAGCUCCAAGGAUGCUGGUCAUUAAGAAAGGUAAUACAAAAGACUUACAGCUAUCUGGAUUCCCAGUAGUAGGAAAUCUUCCGUCACAGCCAGUUAAGAAUGGAACUGGUCCAAGUGUUUAUAAAGGUUUAGUCCCUAAACCUGCUGCUCCACCUACAAAACCUACACAAUGGAAAAGCCAAACAAAAGAAAAUAAAGUUGGAACUUCUUUCCCUCAUGAGUCCACAUUUGGUGUUGGCAACUUUAAUGCUUUUAAAUCAACUGCCAAGAACUUUAGUCCAUCAACAAAUUCAGUGAAAGAGUGUAAUCGCUCAAAUUCCUCUUCUCCUGUUGACAAACUUAAUCAGCAGCCUCGUCUAACCAAACUGACACGAAUGCGCACUGAUAAGAAGAGUGAAUUUUUGAAAGCAUUGAAAAGAGACAGAGUAGAAGAGGAACAUGAGGAUGAAAGCCGUGCUGGCUCAGAGAAGGAUGACGACUCAUUUAAUUUACAUAACAGCAAUAGUACUCACCAAGAAAGGGAUAUAAA